UACGGGGGGAGCAAGCGUUGUUCGGAUUUACUGGGCGUAAAGGGCGCGUAGGCGGUCAGCACAAGUCAGUUGUGAAAUCUCCGGGCUUAACUCGGAAAGGUCAACUGAUACUGUGCGACUAGAGUGCAGAAGGGGCAACUGGAAUUCUCGGUGUAGCGGUGAAAUGCGUAGAUAUCUGGAGGAACACCGGUGGCGAAGGCGGCAUCCUGGACCAAUAUUGACGCUGAGGAGCGAAAGCCAGGGGAGCAAACGGG
rnacentral:rRNA from 1 species